GACUGGAGCCGGUGUGUGCUGGGCGCUGGGAAGAGACAGAGCGGUCGGCCGUGCGGACAGGUCGCUGUGAUUUUGCUCCUCUGUCCUCAGCAACCCCCGCACCCAGCAUCAGGAACCUGUGCCUCCCACACCCUCACCUGGCUGAGCCGCAGUAGUUCUUCAGUGGCAAGCUUUAUGUCCUGACCCAGCUAAAGCUGCCAGUUGAAGAACUGUUGCCCUCUGCCCCUGGCUUCGAGGAGGAAGAGGAGGAGCAGCUGCUUUACCUAUCAUCCGGAAGGUGACAGAACUGGGGUGGGGAAGGUCUGGACAGUUGGGGUGAUGGCUUUAUGGGAGGGAAACCCUGGUCCUCUGGGGAGCCCUUACCCACACUGGCCCAGCAAAAGAUUUAGGUUAAAGGCACUGUCUAAAUUGGGGAAUAGGUGACUCCACCUCCCCAAGGUUAGUUGAU
ensembl:processed_transcript